UACAGAGGUCUCAAGCGUUGUUCGGAUUCAUUGGGCGUAAAGGGCGCGUAGGCGGCUUGGUCAGUCAGGCGUGAAAUUCCUGGGCUUAACCUGGGGACUGCGCUUGAUACGGCCAGGCUUGAGGAUGGAAGAGGGUCGCGGAAUUCCCAGUGUAGAGGUGAAAUUCGUAGAUAUUGGGAAGAACACCGGUGGCGAAGGCGGCGACCUGGUCCAUUACUGACGCUGAGGCGCGACAGCGUGGGGAGCAAACAGG
rnacentral:rRNA from 1 species